GGGUCAGUAGGUUGGUCGUGCCACCGGUACGUACUGGUCUCACUGAUUCCUCCUUCCUGAAGAACCGUAAUGCCAUUAAUUUGGUGUUGCGGGGAAACAGGACUGUUACUUUGAAAAAAUUAGAGUGUUUAAAGCAAGCUAGCGCUUGAAUACAUUAGCAUGGAAUAAUGAAAUAGGACGAUCGAUCCUAUUUUGUUGGCUUCUAGGAUUGACGUA
rnacentral:rRNA from 1 species